rnacentral:rRNA from 1 species
UACAGAGGGUGCGAGCGUUAAUCGGAAUUACUGGGCGUAAAGCGUGCGUAGACGGUUAUAUAAGUCGGGUGUGAAAGCCCCGGGCUCAACCUGGGAAUUGCAUUCGAGACUGCAUAGCUAGGGUGCGGAAGAGGGAAGCGGAAUUUCCGGUGUAGCGGUGAAAUGCGUAGAUAUGCGGAGGAACACCGAUGGCGAAGGCAAUCCCCUGGGCCUGCACUGACGCUCAUGCACGAAAGCGUGGGGAGCAAACAGG